CUCUGUGACUCCGUACGGGAGGCAGCAGUGGGGAAUAUGCACAAUGGGGGAAACCCUGAUGCAGCCAUGCCGCGUGUGUGAAGAAGGCCUUCGGGUUGUAAAGCACUUUCAGUAGGGAGGAAGGUAGUGUAGUUAACACCUGCAUUAUUUGACGUUACCUACAGAAGAAGCACCGGCUAACUCCGUGCCAGCAGCCGCGGUAAUACGGAGGGUGCGAGCGUUAAUCGGAAUUACUGGGCGUAAAGCGCAUGCAGGCGGCCUGUUAAGUCAGAUGUGAAAGCCCCGGGGCUUAACCUCGGAAUUGCAUUUGAAACUGGCAGGCUAGAGUCUUGUAGAGGGGGUAGAAUUUCAGGUGUAGCGGUGAAAUGCGUAGAGAUCUGAAGGAAUACCAGUGGCGAAGGCGGCCCCCCUGGACAAAGACUGACGCUCAGAUGCGAAAGCGUGGGGAGCAAACAGGAUUAGAUACCCUGGAG
rnacentral:rRNA from 1 species